rnacentral:tRNA from 1 species
CAGAAAGUAGUUUAAUGUAAAAUGCCAGCUUUGGGAGUUGGAGAUAUAGGUUUGAGUCCUUUUUUUCUGA